UCACGAGUCCAGCCAAAAAGCCGCACCGGUGUGGUUGAAAAUGAGCCACCGCCGCCGCUUCCUUCCCCCACGUCGGCGGCCUGUCUCCACCGCGCGCCGCCCUCCUCCUUCCUCGACGCCGGCCGCCUCCCUCCACCACGCGCCGCCGUCCUCCUUCCCCGACGCCGGCCACCGCCCACUACCACGCGCCGCCCUCCUCCUUCCCCGGCGCCGGCCACCUACCUCCACGACGCGCCGCUCCUCCUUCCCCGGCGCCGGACUCCUCCCUCCACCACACGCCGCCCUCCUCCUUCCCCGGCGCCGGCCGCCUGCCUCCACCACGCGCCGCCCUCCUCCAUCCCCUGCGCCGGCCACCUACAUCCAUCGCGCAGAUCCCGCCGCAGCCCCAAAACCUAAACGGCGCCGCCGCUGUCGUCCCGCACAGGAUCGACCCGCCGCUAUCGCUCUGCUGCCGUGUACAACUGUACACGCGGUUCAACGCCUCAGCCCCAGGCCAUUCAAUGCCUCGCCGGCCUGCGGCUCCUCCAUGGACACCUAGCUCCUCUACUAGAGCCACCGCGGCCGACGGCAGCCCAUGGUGGCGGAGUUCGUUGCGUCCAUCAGUCCAACCCCAUUGCUUCAGGGUGGCCGAUUUUUGUCGCGGCCAUCAGUUCGGACACCUGUGUCACUGCGUGCGUUGCUACCACGGCCAUUUGCGUCACUACGUGCUCCGUCACCGGCCUCAUGCGCACCGUGACCCCUGGCACACUCCUUCCUCUCCCUGACGCUGCUCGUGCCCUCCCAGGCUUGAUCUCCUGCUGCAGCGAUGAGCUCCUGUACAUUGCUGAAGUUCCGUACCUGACGGCACCAGCACGAGGAUGCAGCAGCCAGGCUGGACCCCGUGAACUGUGAUGCUCUACUGAUGGAGAGAAGUUUGGGAAACUGCACAAAUAUUGGUAUUUUGGGAGUUAUGAAUUUGGUGCUCCGUAGGUGCCUGCUGGUAUAUGCAAGUGCUUAAAAGUAUUUAGGUGGGUGGUCCGACACCGCUAUGUCCAGCAGUCCAACACCGCCACCGGAGGCCGUUCACUGUCGCAAUGCCUACUUUUCCCCGCGCCUCCUUCCCAGUCAUCGUGAGACCUGACGGAACAAGGCAGAACCUCUCUCUCGUACGCAGUAAUAUUGCUCUCUCAUCUCUCAUCUCGUAGGCAGUAGUAAUAUUGCUCUCUCAUCUCUCAUCUCGUAGGCAGUAGUAAUAUUGCUCUCUCAUCUCUCAUCUUGUAGGCAGUAAUAUUUUGAUGAAUGUGUUACAAAACAAAUUCCGUAUUGACAUUCAGUAGCUUAGAGAGAGUAGCACAGAGAAACGUUGUUGUGUUGUGGAUGACAAAGAACACAUGUGACAGCAAGUCCAGGUAUUACUACAUGGGGAGUACAAAAUUACUUUUACUGAGAGAUCACUUGAAUCCUUGAUAGCUACUAGCCAUAGGAACCUAACCCAGAAAAAAUGUGCGAAAAAGAAACAUUUUGUACUACCAUUAGUCAUCGAUGGCGUGUAAUGUUAUAUUUUCUUGCUUCCCUAGCGUUGAAUUAGAACAGCAUUUUCAAGAGCUGCAUUAGCUCAUUACUUAUCUCUUGUACUGUUAAUUUUAUUUUCAAAACCAAACUUGUACUGGGCACAUGAGUUCCGAUAGUAGCUUCUCUUUGACAAAUUUUACAUAAUCAAGCAUUCUUGAUGUGCUGCCUUUCUUCCAGAUAUAUAGAUUCAGUUUUGAAUCCGAUUCUCAAAUCAGACAAUCAUAAUUCUAUUGCCAGUUCUGAAACAAAGAAAUGUUUGCGUAACAGUCCCAUAAACAGCACCAAAACGAAUCCCCAUCCUUGGUAACUUGCUGGCUUUGAUCUUCCAGGGCAGCAUGAAUGAUCAGUACUCCCUUUAAUCAAUGCGCGCUCAUCGAGCCAUAGUAGCAUCUCAUUUGUCCUAAAUUCUUCCACUCUCUGGAAACAAGUCCCGGAAUGGAUGUGAAUAGAGUAUACUCCCAUGGUUUUGCGAGAAAUCGUACAAUAAGAGUACCGUUCACUAUGUAUUUUAUCAUCAGUUAAAAAAUAAUCACAGAAAAAGUUCAAUUGUGUUAUUGAAACAACUCAAUUUAUAAGUAUUAUAUUAUAUGAUAAGUGAUGCAUAGGGAUGUUGCAACAGUUCGACUCACAGAGCUAGUAAGUUCGACGAAAAAACAGCACAAGGCAUGUCAGUUCGCGCAGAGCAUAUCAGUCUUUCAAUUCGUGAGCUCGUCAGUUCACCGAUGGGAUCCGCAGCUCCCAGGUGGUUCACAGCCGCCUCCCUAGUCCGUUCAUCACUGCCAAUCGAGGCCGUUCGACAAUGCAGCGUUGAGGUCGGUCAAGGACGCAAUGUGGCCAUGGAUGCGCCCAGCGAAGGACAGCGAAAGGCAAAAAACAACCUAGUGCAGCUGCUUGCCUCCUCUUCAUAUCCCAUACCAGAAAACAUCCUUCGCCCCCUCUGUUUUCUUAAAAUUUCGAGGCGGACAAUUGCAAAAAUUCAGAGGAGACAACGCGGGAAGUUCAAAGAAAAUUCGGACUUGUGCAGUGAUGAAGGAGGAAGCAGCAGUGCCGCCGGGUCCAGGACUCCAGCGCCCCAGCCGUUCAUUGCCACCAUCCUGGGUCGUUUAACAUGACAGCGCCAAGCCGUUCGAUGCCCAGCUCCGGAGGUGCUCGUCGCAGCUUUCCCCCCACCUCCCAUUGGAUGUUCAUGCUCCUUCUCUUGUGUACAUUCAGUUCAACAUCUGGUGGUUUUUCAGUUCACCUUAAAUGUGCAUUUUCAGCUUCAUCUUGCAGUGAAGAAGAUAUCCCUAUGAUACGUUUGUCACUCUGAUAGGUUCGUUCCAUCUCUUGGAGCUGUAUGGCUGACCAUUUUUGGUCAAAUUUGGCAAUUGUUAACUUAUGAAGCUACCGACUCAGCCCGAACUGAAGCAUGUCGGCAAGCCGGGCCUCAAAAGGCCCUUCUCCCGCUACUGCCUCGAUCUUGAACUGAUGUUGUUGUCAUCUGUCUACCUCCUCCCUUGGUGAGCCCAUGCUCUUGACGCUCGAGCCGCCUGCACUUCUUUUCUCAGUUCGGAAAUUCCCAAAGCACCAGUACUAUUUAUCAGGAUACACCAUGUUGAUGAAGAUGUUGAUUUUACAAAAGGAUCAGUGAAGCAUUGGGCAAUGGACACACUAUCUUCAUGAGAUGGUGUACUCCACGACAUACUUCCAUUAGUUGAAGAUGAUGCAUGGAGCAGUGACUGCUCAACACUUUUUUGUGAUAAAUGUUAUUAUGAUCUAUUCUAUGUAUUAUAUUGUAUGAUCGGGAGAACUCAGAAGUUCAUGUGUUGUCGGUGAAAAAUUUCAAAACAUUUUGUUUAGUAAGAACUUUUUUUUAUCAAAUGAUAAACCUAUGUUAAUGGAAAACAGUAGUUGAGACGAGAGAAGUCCAAAA